UCAAGUCUGCUGUCAAAGGUCGGAGCUUAACUCCGGUUAGGCAGUGGAAACUGGUGUGCUAGAGGGCGACAGGGGUAGAGGGAAUCCCCAGUGUAGCGGUGAAAUGCGUAGAGAUUGGGAAGAACACCGGUGGCGAAAGCGCUCUACUGGGUCGCGCCUGACCCUCAGGGACGAAAGCUAAGGUAGCGAAAGGGAUUAGAUACCCCUGUAGUCUUAGCCGUAAACGAUGGAUACUAGGCGUGGUUUGUAUCGACCCAAGCCGUGCCGAAGCUAACGCGUUAAGUAUCCCGCCUGGGGAGUACGCACGCAAGUGUGAAACUCAAAGGAAUUGACGGGGGCCCGCACAAGCGGUGGAGGAUGUGGUUUAAUUCGAUGCAACGCGAAGAACCUUACCAGGGCUUGACAUCCCGCGAAGUCUGGGGAAACUCAGAUGUGCCUUCGGGAGCGCGGAGACAGGUGGUGCAUGGCUGUCGUCAGCUCGUGUCGUGAGAUGUUGGGUUAAGUCCCGCAACGAGCGCAACCCUCGUCCUUAGUUGCCAGCCUUAAGUGGGGCACUCUAGGGAGACUGCCGGUGACAAACCGGAGGAAGGUGAGGAUGACGUCAAGUCAGCAUGCCCCUUAUGCUCUGGGCGACACACGUCCUACAAUGGUCGGGACAAAGGGGAGCGAGCUCGCGAGAGUCGGCGAAUCCCAUCAAACUCGGCCUCAGUUCAGAUUGCAGGCUGCAACUCGCCUGCAUGAAGGAGGAAUCGCUAG
rnacentral:rRNA from 1 species